rnacentral:rRNA from 1 species
UAGUAUAAGCAAUUAUACCGUGAAACUGCGAAUGGCUCAUUAAAUCAGUUAUCGUUUAUUUGAUAGUACCUUACUACUUGGAUAACCGUGGUAAUUCUAGAGCUAAUACAUGCUGAAAACCCCAACUUCGGGAGGGGUGUAUUUAUUAGAUAAAAAACCAACGCCCUUCGGGGCUUCUUGGUGAUUCAUGAUAACUUUACGGAUCGCAUGGCCUUGCGCCGGCGACGGUUCAUUCAAAUUUCUGCCCUAUCAACUUUCGAUGGUAAGGUAUUGGCUUACCAUGGUUUCAACGGGUAACGGGGAAUUAGGGUUCGAUUCCGGAGAGGGAGCCUGAGAAACGGCUACCACAUCCAAGGAAGGCAGCAGGCGCGCAAAUUACCCAAUCCCGACACGGGGAGGUAGUGACAAUAAAUACUGAUACAGGGCUCUUUUGGGUCUUGUAAUUGGAAUGAGUACAAUUUAAACCUCUUAACGAGGAACAAUUGGAGGGCAAGUCUGGUGCCAGCAGCCGCGGUAAUUCCAGCUCCAAUAGCGUAUAUUAAAGUUGUUGCAGUUAAAAAGCUCGUAGUUGAACCUUGGGUCUGGCUGGCAGGUCCGCCUCACCGCGUGUACUUGUCCGGCCGGGCCUUCCUUCUGGAGAACCUCAUGCCCUUCACUGGGCGUGUUGGGGACCAGGACUUUUACUUUGAAAAAAUUAGAGUGUUCAAAGCAGGCCUUUGCUCGAAUACGUUAGCAUGGAAUAAUAGAAUAGGACGUGCGGUCCUAUUUUGUUGGUUUCUAGGACCGCCGUAAUGAUUAAUAGGGACAGUCGGGGGCAUCAGUAUUCAAUUGUCAGAGGUGAAAUUCUUGGAUUUAUUGAAGACUAACUACUGCGAAAGCAUUUGCCAAGGAU